rnacentral:lncRNA from 1 species
AAAGGAGAGGCCACCAGAGGUUUCUCUGGCCAGAGAGGUCAGAUUGUGUCCACUCCAUGCCCCACCCAGCCACUCUGAAAGGUGCAGGAGAAUCAACUUCUCUGAAUUUGAAGAGUCUUCUGUGAUUUGCCAGAACUGUUGUGAUGAAGAUUUUUCUUGGACUACUAGGCAGCCAAGCAAUUCCAAACCCUCCUUGGGACAUCUACUUCCAUUCCUUCCACUGGGUUCUGUCUGAGAGCCUGCAACCGGCAUCUCGUGCAGAUUUCAAAAUCGAAAUUCAGCAUUAUCGUAAUUACACAGAAAUAGCAUCAUAAUAUAUUGUCGUGGUUUGUUCUGUCUCAUUUGUAUUGCCAAAAAUUUUUUUUUUGUGGCCCAAGUCCCACUGAAUAGACAUCCUUACUGCACUGCCUUCAUUUUGUCAUGAACUUAUUUUUCCUGAGAAGUUUAAUUUAAGAGUUAAUAUCAAGGACUUUUCUG